GGUACAGGUACAGAGUCAAUGUGGAGGCUAUAUACAGGGGGGUACAGGUACAGAGUCAAUGUGGAGGCUAUAUAAAGGGGGUACAGGUACAGAGUCAAUGUGGAGGCUAUAUACAGGGGGUACUGGUACAGAGUCAAUGUGGAGGCUAUAUACAGGGGGUACUGGUACAGAGACAAUGUGGAGGCUAUAUACAAGGGGUACCGGUACAGAGUCAAUGUGGAGGCUAUAUACAGGGGGUACAGGUACAGAGUCAAUGUGGAGACUAUAUACAGGGGGUACAGGUACAGAGACAAUGUGGAGGCUAUAUACAGGGGGUACAGGUACAGAGACAAUGUGGAGGCUAUAUACAGGGGGUACAGAGACAAUGUGGAGGCUAUAUACAGGGGGUACAGGUACAGAGACAAUGUGGAGGCUAUAUACAGGGGGUACAGGUACAGAGUCAAUGUGGAGACUAUAUACAGGGGGUACAGGUACAGAGUCCAUGUGGAGACUAUAUACAGGGG
ensembl:lncRNA